rnacentral:rRNA from 1 species
ACAUGCGAUCAUACCUGCACUAAUGCACCGGAUCCCAUCAGAACUCCGCAGUUAAGGGUGCUUGGGCGAGAGUAGUACUAGGAUGGGUGACCUCCCAGAAAGUCCUCGUGUUGCAUCCC